AGAGAAGUUGGUCGACCAAGGGCAAAAUUGCCAUUUUACCUUGCCAUUUUAUUUUCCCCCUAUUUCUAUCUUUAAUAGUGCUCGCUAUUUCGACACAAACAAACGAUAUGGGUCUAGAAACAUCUCUCCUCUGUUCCAUCGAAACUUAGGUGAACUCUUUGAGUUCUCCUUCAGAAUUUGAAGAAAACCAUUUCGGGUAUGAUUCUCUCACAGUUUUUGCUCCAAUCUUUUUCUUUUUUUCUCUGUUUUCUCUUCUUCUUCUUUGAGAUCUCUUAACAAUUUCCUAUUUCAUGGGUGAAUUUACUUGGCUGUUAUUAUUCCAUGGUGACAUAACAUUCUUUAUUUUUGUAAGCAGUGAUUGGUAUAAACGGGUGGGCCGGGCCGGGCCCCUAUUUUUUGGACCCGUACGGGUUACGGUCCGGGCUGGUUCCGGGUUGGUUCUUAACGGGUUUAACGGGUUCGGGUUCAUUCGGGUAAAAAUUGAAUCGUAAGGGUUACGGGUUGAGGCGGUCGGGCCGGGCUGGGUUUAGUGUAUUUUAAUAUUUUUUUUUUGGAAUUUUGUAUAACUAUUGUAGGUUAUAUUAGUACAAAGUAUUAACAUAAAGAAUACAAGGAAGAUGGAAAAAAAAUGCACUUGUUGCAAGUGCUACAUUUAUUUCAUAAUUCAAACUUACAAAUUGAAAGAUUUACAUUUUUAACAACAAGUAAAUUCAAAGGUUUUGCAUUGCCUUAGUAAGUUCUUUAUAAUCAAUAUGAACUGAUUGACCUUCUUCUGGAGUGAUAAAUUCGGAUGGGUUACUAUGUGUUAAUAUAUCUCCAAGUUCCCCGUCUUUUGGGCUAUCAACAUCUUCACGUCCUUAAUUUUUUCAUUCCGAUCUAAUCCAAUCUCUGAAACAUACUAAAACUUCCAAAGCAUUGCUUCCAAAGCAUCUAACUCUAUCAGUACUUUCUAUUAUUUCAAAAAAAUUCCAAACCUUACUUCUUUUUCUACGAUUAGUAGUCGGAGGCACAGGUGGUCUACUACUAGUGCCACGACCACCACCCCUUGUAGCAACUCCAACACUACCAGCUCCAGCACUAGUAGGUGUAGCUGGUAUCUCAUCUUCCAUUCCUAUUUCAUUAUUUUCUAUUCCAAAAUCUUCUUGUAAUUGUUCAUAAUCUAUAUCUAUAUUAUCAUUAGGCGAUGUUUCAGAAACAUGUGAAAAUGAUAAUAGGUUAUUACUAUUACUACCAGAUGCUGAAGGACUACCUCUUUUUUUAUUUUCCCUACCAGUAAAUUUUUUACACGCUCUUUUAGCAGCAUUACACAUAUUGUAAAAAUUAAAGUAUAAGCUAAAAUUAAAUAUGCAAUUAAAAUAGUAAAUAAAAGAAAGAGUUGGAGGGAGUGCACCGAAUUCGACAAUAAAUUGAGCACUUGAUUACACAAUUUCGAUGUUACCACGAACAAACGUCAAGCAAGUAUUUCAAUUUUGAACUUCAAUUGUUCAAACUUCAAAUUUUGAAUGAUAAAACACGAUAAAUUAAAUUCAAGAAAAGAGAGCCAAAUAAAAUUAGAAGAUGAAUUGAAGACUUGAAGUCUUGCAAAUUGGAGAAUGAGAGAAUGAGAGAAAUUGAGAAAUGAGUAUUGAGUGAAGAAAUGAAGAAGGAGGGGGGGGGGGGGUAUUUAUAGUUUUAGAGAAAGUUAGUUUUGUAAAUUGAAAAAGGGUUAAAAUUUUUAAAAAAAAGGCUAUUUGUGCAAUUUUUCCGUUGGCCAACGGACCAAUUCAAGGUCUAACUUUGCCAACGGUCAAUGGGGCCCACCUAUUUCGAAAAUUAAAAAAAAACAAAAAAAAAUUCUAGCCGUUGUACCGGGCCGGUUAACCCGGUAAGAGUAACUGUUCAUUGGACCAAGUUCAACCGGUCCGGUUACCCGUUUUAAAAUUCUAAAUGGACCAACCCCCUCUACCCCUCCUACCCAGCCCAACCCCCUUUAACCGGUCGGGGCCGGUUCCGAGUUUAACCGGUCUGGGCCGGUCCGGAACCGGGUCAACCCGGUCCGUUUAACACCUAUACUAUAGAAGAAUGUGAAUUUAAAAUGGAUAUCUUUUUUUGCUCAAUUUUAAUAUGCCAAAGUUUAAUUUAUCCUUUGUUAAUGAAAAAAAAGUUAUAUUCUUUAUAUUUAUUUAAUUAAAUGGUCAUCUAAGUUAUGAAAAUGAUAUAGUAAUGCCACUUUUGUAUUUUUUUGAUAGAUUUAUUUCUUAUAUUGCUUUUGUUCACGAGAAGACAUGCAGUAACGUAGUUGUGAACUUGUGAUCCUUUUAUAUGUCAAUAACUUGCUGAUCAUACGGAUGAUGACAAGAUGGUUGAAGAAUCUAAGAGGUACUGCACUAAAAUUUCAAGAUAAAAGAUCUAGAAGAGUCGAAAUUCUUCCUUCGAAUUGAAUUUGCCGGGUUAUAAUAAUAAAUCUGAUGUAUCAACAUAUGUAUGCUAUCAUAAAUCUUAAAGCUGAGGUUAGAACAAUGAGAUUACAGAUUAAAUUGACGGUAUCAUAUAAAACUAACAGGUAAUCCUUUAGAGCUCAAGUUGAAUUUCGCAAGUGCUAAACUUGACGAGCACACAGGAAACAGUGUAAGGUUCUAUAGAAUGCUGGAGUUGCCAUAGAUUGAUUGGCAUAAUUGUUAUAGUCAUAGUGUAUAAUUGUGUUGUCGAGUAUUAGAUUGUUACUCAGUGUAUAAUAAUUGACAUGAGGUUGUUUCCUUUGUUUAUUUAAGUUGAUAGAUGUAGUAGUGCGGGACAUAUAUUUGUUUUUCCCAUCUUUUUGCUGCAGCUUUUUUCAAAGAGCUAAAAUACAUAACCUGUCAGAAAUGUAGAAGCUUCCAUUCUUGAGAAGUUGCAAAGGAAUAUGGAAUGAGACCACAAACUCUGAACAUUUUCCCAUCUCAGCCCGUGCAUAUCAACAGUUAAUGUUGGCUUAAACUUGCUACUCUCGGAACGCGUUAUGACUUCGCCAAAUAGCUGCAUCGUGGUUUUCUUUUCUUUUUUUUUGCUAUGCUAAUUGUUACACUCCGUCCACCACAUUCAUCUCUUACAUUCUAUUAUAUACAUAGUUGAGAUCAGUGGGAUAGAGAUGCUUCCUGAAUGGUUCAAAGAAGUCCAACUUGAGAGACACUCUGAUACACUAAUUGCAAGCAAUAAGAAACAACACGGACAUUAUAAUGCAAUUUUUUGUCAACUUAGUGAUGCUGGCUUGAAAUAUUAUGAUAUCUUAUUCAUGAAUAAUUUCACAAUGAAAAAGUUACAUGACUUGAUAUAUGUUAAAUGCUGAAUAUAGUGAUCCCUGCCGGCUACCGCUAAUAAAGUAUGACUUUUCUUGGUUAUCUGUCUUCAAAAUAAGAGUCCAACAGUAGGGCGCUUUAAUGUUAUUGGCUAAUGUAGCAUCUGGAUAUAUGUAUGUAUCUGGAAAUAAUGGUGAUUGCAUAUUAAGAUUAUUUUGAUAAAUUAUUGACUUGACUUUAAGAUUCUUGAAGCUCAAAGCAAAAAGAACUCAUCACUUUUUUGACUUACCGAAUGUCUUUGACUUAGAUUCUUAUGAUAGACUUGGAAACUUUGCCUUAUGACGCAAGAUCUGUCGUCAUAAAAACGUGAAGAGGUGUCUUCCACUUAUAUAAUUUUUGUAUAUUUAUUUGGUUAUUAAUCUUUUUCAAUAAAAUUCAAUUUAUUUGAUAUAUUUUGGAACAUAUCAGUAGAGCCCCUAAUUUGCAUUUUCACUUUCUCUUUUACAGUAACGUUUAUGAUGCUUCUUAAAUGGAUUUUCUUUCAAUACUUGUACAAAAUCUCUUCUUCGUGGAAAUUAUAAGCUAUUUCCCAAUAAAGGAUAAGUAUUAGUUUCUAACAUUCGAAAUUUUUCAAGAUUUUUAUGUUGCUAUAUUGUUGAUAUGCAGGACUUUGAAUGAGUAUACAUGUGAUGGUACAAAAUACUAAAGGGGAUUAGCUUUUAUGAAAUGAAAGAUUUUCGACUUCGAUGCUAAUCGAUUCAAAGGACCAAUUCCUCCCAAGCUUGGCAAUUCUCCAACCAUUGUAGAAAUAUUAUGCAUUUUAAGUCUCUUACUGUUAUUGUCAUUGUAUGUGGAUGUCCCUUUAUAGUCUCAGCUAAAUAUGAUUUGUCAUUAUUCACUGAUUCAGAUUGAUUCCCUAAGUUCAAGCGUAUGUGACGUAGCUUGAUUUUUAACUUUUAUGAUUGGGAAGUAAAAUGAUUUAUUCUUUGUUUUCCUAAGCGUUAGACUUCCUAAAAUUUUGCGUGAUUUCUAUGACUGCGUAGCAAAAUGCUUCAUUUCUUUGUUGUUCCCCAAGCAUUACACUUCUUCAGUUUUUGCAUCUUAAAGUUUGAGACGUUUGAUUUACAUGGCCUGCAUUAGGCUUUUUAAGUUUUUGUAUUUUUAUGUUUGAGACUUUUUAUUUUUAAGAACUUAAAAAUAUACAUUACCUUGUAAAUAAAUGAUGUUUGAGACUUUUGAAGUUA
rnacentral:lncRNA from 1 species